rnacentral:rRNA from 1 species
GGGGAUGACGUCAAGUCCUCAUGGCCCUUUAUGACCAGGGCUACACACGUACUACAAUGGCAGGUACAAAGGGCAGCCACUUAGCGAUAAGGCGCGAAUCCCGUAAAACCUGUCUCAGUCCGGAUUGGAGUCUGCAACUCGACUCCAUGAAGUUGGAAUCGCUAGUAAUCGCGGAUCAGCACGCCGCGGUGAAUACGUUCCCGGGCCUU